GGGCGACUGGUCAAGUGGUAGACAUCAUAGAACCUUGUGGUUGUGGGACUCCCCGUGGGCCCAUAUUAAACACUUGUCUUCAAUUGUGAAAGCUCUAGGUUCGAAUCCUAGGUUGUCCA